rnacentral:rRNA from 1 species
GUUGUUCGGAAUUACUGGGCGUAAAGGGCGAGCACGCGGUAUGGCAAGUCAGGUGUGAAAGCCCUCGGCUCAACUGAGGAACUGGACUUGAAACUGUUUUACUUGAAUCCGGUAGAGGGAGGCGGAAUUCCUGGUGUAGAGGUGAAAUUCGUAGAUAUCAGGAGGAACAUCGGAGGCUAAGGCGGCCUCCUGGGCCGGUAUUGACGCUGAGGCGCGAAAGCGUGGGGAGCAAACAGGAUUCGAUAUCCUGGUAGUCCUCUCCGUAUACGAUGUUCACUACGUGUCGCGGGUAGUCUACUCCCUGCGGUGCCUCAGCAAACGCGAUAAGUGAAACUCCUGUGGAGUACGGUCGCAAGAUUAGAACUCAAAGGAAUUGACGGGGGCCCGCACAACCGGUGGAGUAUGUGGUUUAAUUCGAAGCAACGCGCAGAACCUUACCUGGGUUUGACAUCUCCGGAACAUCCUGGAGACAGGAUGGUGCCCUUCGGGGAGCCGGAAGACAGGUGCUGCAUGGCUGUCGUCAGCUCGUGUCGUGAGAUGUUGGGUUAAGUCCCGCAACGAGCGCAACCAUUGCCCUUAGUUACCAGCACAUUAGGUGGGGACUGUAAGGGUACUGCCCCGGUGAACGGGGAGGAAGGUGGGGAUGA